rnacentral:rRNA from 1 species
GAUGAACGCUAGCUACAGGCUUAACACAUGCAAGUCGAGGGGUAGCAGGGUAGCAAUACCGCUGACGACCGGCGCACGGGUGAGUAACACGUAUCCAACCUUCCCACAACUCAGGAAUAGCCUUUCGAAAGAAAGAUUAAUACCUGAUAGUACUUUUUUAAGGCAUCUUGAGAAAGUUAAAGAUUUAUCGGUUAUGGAUGGGGAUGCGUUCCAUUAGAUAGUUGGUGAGGUAACGGCUCACCAAGUCUUCGAUGGAUAGGGGUUCUGAGAGGAAGGUCCCCCACAUUGGUACUGAGACACGGACCAAACUCCUACGGGAGCAGCAGUGAGGAAUAUUGGUCAAUGGGCGAGAGCCUGAACCAGCCAAGUAGCGUGAAGGAUGAAGGUCCUAUGGAUUGUAAACUUCUUUUAUAGUAGAAUAAAGUGACCUACGUGUAGGUUUUUGUAUGUAUACUAUGAAUAAGGAUCGGCUAACUCCGUG